rnacentral:misc_RNA from 1 species
UCCUACUUGUCAUAGGCAGUUUCCUUAGAGUACCCACCAUAACGUGCUGGUAACUAAGGAUGAGGGUUGCGCUCGUUGCGGGACUUAACCCAACAUCUCACGACACGAGCUGACGACAGCCAUGCAACACCUGUCUCUACGUCCCUUGCGGGAAAGAAUCCAUCUCUGGAAACCGUCGUAGGAUGUCAAAGGUAGGUAAGGUUUUUCGCGUAGCAUCGAAUUAAACCACAUGCUCCACCGCUUGUGCGGGUCCCCGUCAAUUCCUUUGAGUUUUAAUCUUGCGACCGUACUCCCCAGGCGGGAUGCUUAUCGCGUUAGCUGCAACACCGAAGGGCAAGCCCCCCAACGUCUAGCAUCCAUCGUUUACAGCGUGGACUAC